GACGAACGCUGGCGGCGUGCUUAACACAUGCAAGUCGAACGGAAAGGCCUGCUUUCCCUUGUGGAUUGCGGGUACUCGAGUGGCGAACGGGAGAGUAACACGUGAGUGAUCUGCCCCCCACUUGGGUAUAAGCCUGGGAAACUGGGUCUAAUUCACGAUAGGACUGAAGGGUUGUGCCAGGGGUGGAAAACGAUUUUCUAGUGGUUGGGGAUGAGCUCGCGGCCUAUCAGCUUGUUGGUGGGGUAAUGGCCUACCAAGGCGGAGACGGGUAGCCGGCCUGAGAGGGUGGACGGCGACAUUGGGACUGAGAUACGGCCCAGACUCCUACGGGAGGCAGCAGUGUGGAAUAUUGCACAAUGGUCGGAAGCCUUAUGCAGCGACGCCUCGUGGGGGAUGACGGCCUUCGGGUUGUAAACUCCUUUCGACCGCGAGGAAGCCACCUGGUUGGAAGGGUGGUGACGGUAGUGGUAGAAGAAGCAGCGGCUAACUACGUG
rnacentral:rRNA from 1 species